UACCAAAAGGAUGGGUUUGCCAGUCUGUUGCAGCUAGUGAAGGGCUUCCUGAUUUGGUUACCUAAAGGAGGACUGCUGCAGUAGUUGAGCCUCUUCUGGCGAACUCCUGGGUCCCGGAGAGGAGGUGUCUGGGGGCCCAAACUCAUGGGUUUAUGAGAGGAGAGGGAUGGGGGCCGAGACUCCAGGGACUUAGAGGGAGCAGCGGCUGGGGUUCCCUCUAAGGGGACCAAAGAUGGGCUCCAGGACUGGGUGGGUCCUGAGCCCAUUCUCCCUCUCCCAGAGCCCCUACCCCAGCUGUCGGUUCAGCCCAAGGCUCCAGAGACAGAGGAGGGGGCGGCCGAGCUCCGGCUGCGCUGCCUGGGGUGGGGGCCAGGUCGCGGGGAGCUGAGCUGGAGCCGGGACGGACGCGCCCUGGAGGCGGCGGAAUCCGAGGGAGCCGAGACGCCCCGGAUCCGCUCAGAGGGCGACCAGC
rnacentral:lncRNA from 1 species